rnacentral:tRNA from 1 species
GUCCAGGGAUGGGAAUCGAACCCAGAGUGUUCUGUUUACCGGGCAGAUGCCAUGUCCACUAGGCUACCCUGGA